rnacentral:rRNA from 1 species
GAGCGGGGAGUGCCUUCGGGCAUUUUCAGCGGCGGACGGGUGAGUAACGCGUGAGAACCUUUCCUUGCACAGGGGAAUAACGCAGCGAAAGCUGUGCUAAUACCGCAUGAGACCACAAGAUCGCAUGGUCAAGGGGUCAAAGGAGCAAUUCGGUGAAGGGUKGGCUCGCGUCUGAUUAGCUAGUUGGCGGGGUAACGGCCCACCAAGGUAACGAUCAGUAGCCGGACUGAGAGGUUGACCGGCCACAUUGGGACUGAGAUACGGCCCAGACUCCUACGGGAGGCAGCAGUGGGGAAUAUUGGGCAAUGGGCGAAAGCUGACCCAGCAACGCCGCGUGAAGGAAGAAGGCCCUCGGGUUGUAAACUUCUUUUAAGAGGGACGAAACAAAUGACGGUACCUCUUGAAUAAGCCACGGCUAACUACGUGCCAGCAGCCGCGGUAAUACGUAGGUGGCAAGCGUUAUCCGGAUUUACUGGGUGUAAAGGGCGUGUAGGCGGGAGUGCAAGUCGAGAUGUGAAAAUUAUGGGCUCAACCCAUAACCUGCAUUUGAAACUGUUCUUCUUGAGUGAUGGAGAGGCAGGCGGAAUUCCGUGUGUAGCGGUGAAAUGCGUAGAUAUACGGAGGAACACCAGUGGCGAAGGCGGCCUGCUGGACAUUAACUGACGCUGAGGCGCGAAAGCGUGGGGAGCAAACAGGAUUAGAUACCCUGGUAGUCCACGCUGUAAACGAUGGAUACUAGGUGUGGGGGGUCUGACCCCCUCCGUGCCGCAGUUAACACAAUAAGUAUCCCACCUGGGGAGUACGAUCGCAAGGUUGAAACUCAAAGGAAUUGACGGGGCCCCGCACAAGCGGCGGAGCAUGCGGAUUAAUUCGAUGCAACGCGAAGAACCUUACCUGGGUUUGACAUAUAUCGGAAACGUUCAGAGAUGGGCGCCCCGUAAGGUCGGUAUACAGGUGGUGCAUCGCUGUCGUCAGCUCGUGUCGUGAGAUGUUGGGUUAAGUCCCGCAACGAGCGCAACCCUCGUCCAAUGUUGCCAGCGGGUUAUGCCGGGGACUCAUUGGAGACCGCCGGGGUCAACUCGGAGGAAGGUGGGGAUGACGUCAAGUCAUCAUGCCCCUUAUGUCCAGGGCUUCACGCAUGCUACAAUGGCCGGUACAAAGAGUUGCGAGCCUGUGAGGGUGAGCGAAUCUCAAAAAGCCGGUCUCAGUUCGGGAUUGGGGUCUCGCAACUCGACCCCAUGAAGUCGGAGUCGCUAGUAAUCGCAGAUCAGCAACGCUGCGGUGAAUACGUUCCCGGGGCUUGUACACACCGCCCGUCAAGUCAUCGAAAGUCGUAACACCCGAAGCCGGUGGCCUAACCCCGUUU